rnacentral:rRNA from 1 species
AGAGCGAACGCUGGCGGCAGGCCUAAAACAUGCAAGUCGAACGGACCCUUCGGGGUUAGUGGCGGACGGGUGAGUAACACGUGGGAACGUGCCUUUUGGUUCAGAACAACUCAGGGAAACUUGAGCUAAUACUGAAUAAGCCCUACGGGGGAAAGAUUUAUCGCCAUUAGAGCGGCCCGCGUUGGAUUAGCUAGUUGGUGAGGUAAAGGCUCACCAAGGCUACGAUCCAUAGCUGGUCUGAGAGGAUGAUCAGCCACACUGGGACUGAGACACGGCCCAGACUCCUACGGGAGGCAGCAGUUAGGAAUCUUGCGCAAUGGGCAAAGCCUGACGCAGCCAUGCCGCGUGAAUGAUGAAGGUCUUAGGAUUGUAAAAUUCUUUCAGCGGGAAGAUAAUGACUGUACCCGCAGAAGAAGCUCCGGCUAACGUUCGUGCCAGCAGCCGC